UUUUGGAUAGCCAACUGGUAAAGGCACCGGAUUUAGUUUCCGCUAACGGGGGUUCGAAUCCCUCUCCAAAAC
rnacentral:tRNA from 1 species